GAAUGUGAGGGCGAUGUGGCUGCGACCUCUGUCACCCCACUGAUCGCCAGGGUUGAUUUAACUGAUCUGGCUGGCUAGGCAGGUGUCCCCUUCCUCCCUCACCACUCCGUGUGUGUCCCUCAUAUAUUGUGAUUGGUUAAAGUGAUUUAGAUUUCUUUGUAUUUAUGAAUUGUCUUCUUCCUGUUCUCUGCUGUGAAGGAAGCUGAGUAACUCUUGGGUAGUCCUAGAGUUGUUAACUGCAUUCCAGUAUACUUCUUAUGAAUUUAUAAUUAGAUUUGGAAACUUGAUCAAAUUCACAUCUUU
ensembl:misc_RNA 7SK 7SK RNA